rnacentral:rRNA from 1 species
AACGAACGCUGGCGGCAUGCCUAACACAUGCAAGUCGAACGAGACCUGCGGGUCUCGUGGCGCACGGGUGCGUAACGCUUGGUAACCUGCCCUUAGGUUCGGAAUAACUCCCCGAAAGGAGUGCUAAUACCGGAUAAUGCCUUCGGACCACAGAUUUAUCGCCUUUGGAUGGGCGCGCGUUUGCUUAGCUAGUUGGUAGGGUAAAAGCCUACCAAGGUGACGAUCCAUAGCUGGUCUGAGCGGAUGAUCAGCCACACUGGGACUGAGACGCGGCUCAGACUCCUACGGGAUGGGGCAGUGGGGAAUAUUGGAAAGCGGGCGAAAGGCUGAUCCAGCACUGGCGGGAGAGUGAUGAAGUCCUUAGGGUUGAAAAGCUCUUUUACCCGGGAUGAUAAUGACGGUACCGGGAGAAUAAGCACCGGCUAACUACGUG